AACAAGCAGUUCCCCAAGACGAUGCUCUGUGGUUUAACAACUGUGGUUAUUCUGUCUACAAGUCAGAUAGAACUCAACAGAAGGACUGUAGCGAUGGCGGAGGAGGAGGUCAGCUACGCUUCAGUUGUAUUCAAAACUAACAAGCGUUCCCCACCUGAAGCUAAUAAUGAGGAGGAAACUGUGUACAGUGAUGUGAAGGUGCGAAGCAAAACAACCGAAAAGACUGCUGACACAAACACAGGACUUUUGCCAGACAAGAAAACAAAACAGCAGAGGUCGCUGCUAUCAGCAGGUGGCUUGUUGUUUGGGGAUUCUUUGUGUCAUUUUGCUGUUGGGCAUCAUAGCAGUCUGUGUCUACAAAAACCAGAACCUGACAUCACAAAACACCAAGCUGUCUGCAGAAAACCAGAACCUGACAUCACAAAACACCAAGCUGUCUGCAGAAAACCAGAACGUGACAUCACAAAACACCAAGCUGUCUGCAGAAAACCAGAACCUGACAUCACAAAACACCAAGCUGUCUGCAGAAAACCAGGAGCUGAAGACAAAGAGGAAUGAGCUCAACGUCAGUCGAGCUCAGUGGAGCAUUGAUGCCUACUGCCCAAAAGAAAACCAAAACAGACAGUGUAACGCUUGUCAGGAUGGUUGGACACUCUCAGAAUCCAGCUGCUAUGCGAUUAAUAACCCUGGUGUUUCUGGUCAGAAAACCUGGGAAGAAGCUCGAGAAAACUGCAGAGGAAAGAUUUCAGAUCUGGUUGUUAAACUUGAUCAAAAGGAGAAGAAAUAUGUCAACUUUAACUGGGGCAGUUAUGACUACUGGAUUGGCCAGAGAGCUGAAGCUGGAAAUUGGACGUGGAUCAAUGGAACUAUUCUAAAGACUCAAGACUACUGGACAAAAGCACCUUCUGGUGAAGCUCAUUGUGUGAUUUCUAUCAGAGGGACACCUUCCAAGAAAUGGAAAGCUGUGAAGUGUGAUGAGAAACAUCGAUGGAUCUGUGAGAAGAAAGCUUUAUCUGUUUAAGAUCUGUAAUCAGAACUGAAGAGAUUACUGGAUAGUCUGCACAGAUGAAUGACGCGUACAAUAACAUCAGCUGGCUUGUAAAAAAGAAAAUGUGUAAAAUUCUACUUAAGAAUUUGCUGGAUUUAGCCAGCACAAAAAAAGACAGAUCUUUGUGUGUGUAUAUAUGUAAUACAGUUUUGGAUUACUGAUCAGUUUUUAGAAAACUACAGUGUCAACAGGGGGCGCUAAAGUGCUAAUAACAUCAAAUAUGGAUUUCUUUUACUUUGAUAGAGCCAAAUGUAGAGGUGUAUGUGCAUGUAGAGGUGACAGGUUUGAUGUUCUCUAUCUGCCUUAUAUGUUUCUAUCUUAAAGCAGCUAGUGAAUAAAUAUGUUACGCUGUGACAUGUUUAAGAA